GUCCCUUUGGUGGCAUCCGAUAAAAUUGGAACGAUACAGAGAAGAUUAACAUGAUUAUUGCGCAAGGAUGACAUGCACAAAUCGAGAAAUGGUCUAAAUUGUUUUGACCUUUUUGCCCCUACACCUCAACCUCAGAUUACCAUAAUACCCCCGGGAUUCUUCUUCUUUCCCCGUUAUAGCCCCUCCCUGCGGGUGCACCUGAUCCGUUCUCCUCCUCCCAAUUUUCUGCUGGAUUUCAGAUUCUAGGGUUUCAAGCAGAGUUCUGUUCUGCCAUUUUGCAGGCUUCUUAGGCUACAGGGACUCCUGGAGCCGGAAACUAGUUUGGAAGACCAGCUGCUAAUUUCGCUCGCAAGUCCUUCCGCAAGAUUUUGCCAGAUGGUGCUUUGGGAAUGGCAUCGUUGAAGAAAACUCUAUUAAUUCUCUUGUAAAAAACAACCUGCAGAGCGUUGGAGGUUAAAAUAUGUAUCAGUUUGAAUCAAGACUUGCAACAACAUCAAGAGAACAAUUGAAGUGUGACUGUAUACCUGUUUGGAGAUAUAUUGCUUGACUUCUUCCUCGGUGAUUAUGGACCCAUUUGAUUUCACAACAAAAGCUACAGGUACCUCUCCUGCUGAUUCAUCUUUCAUCCUGAAUCAUUAGGCAUUCGUUUGGUUAGAGCUGAUCAAGAUUCAACUCCUUGGGUAAAAGAUGGUGCAUCUAUAAGAAAAGAAUAAGUGCUAGAAAAUUUUCAAGUGGCAUAUCUUCAAAUAGGGUCAACGUUCCACUUGAAUGAAUGUUGUAUUAUCAUGUUUCACUCUGGACACUGUAAAAUUUUCUGAAUCUGUAGCAUUAAUGAUACACAUAA